rnacentral:rRNA from 1 species
CCAGACUCCUACGGGAGGCAGCAGUAAGGGAUAUUGGUCAAUGGGGGAAACCCUGAACCAGCAACGCCGCGUGAGGGAAGGCGGUUUUCGGAUUGUAAGCCUCUGUCCUCUGUGAAGAUGAUGACGGUAGCAGAGGAGGAAGCUCCGGCUAACUACGUGCCAGCAGCCGCGGUAAUACGUAGGUGGCAAGCGUUGUCCGGAUUUACUGGGUGUAAAGGGCGUGCAGCCGGGCUGACAAGUCAGAUGUGAAAUCCCGCGGCUCAACCGCGGAACUGCAUUUGAAACUGUCAGUCUUGAGUACCGGAGAGGUCAUCGGAAUUCCUUGUGUAGCGGUGAAAUGCGUAGAUAUAAGGAAGAACACCAGUGGCGAAGGCGGACGACUGGACGGCAACUGACGGUGAGGCGCGAAAGCGUGGGGAGCAAACAGGAUUAGAUACCCGAGUA